CUUCUUGGAGUGACCACUGGGUUUUGCUUUUCAUUGGCAUGCACAAGACCAGCUGAGAUAAUUCAGAAUUUCCCUUUAAUUAUGUCUGUCUCAAAUAAUUUGCUUGGGGUUCCUCUCUCACAGUGUUGUGAAAAGCGAGCGCUUCGUCGCUUAAAGCGCGAAGCGACUCGAGGCGACCAGUUGUCAAUUUUUACUGCCUAAAGCGAUGCGACCACCAGAAGCGCUCGCUUAACAGUGAAAAGCGAGGCG
rnacentral:lncRNA from 1 species